AUUUUCCGCAAUGGGCGAAAGCCUGACGGAGCAAGACCGCGUGGGGGAGGAAGGCCUUUGGGUUGUAAACCCCUUUUGUUAGAGAAGAAAAAAAUGACGGUACCUAACGAAUCAGCCUCGGCUAAAUCCGUGCCAGCAGUCGCGGUAAUACGGAGGAGGCAAGCGUUAUCUGGAAUUAUUGGGCGUAAAGCGUCCGUAGGUGGCCCGGCAAGUCUGCUGUCAAAGACCACAGCUCAACUGUGGAAAGGCAGUGGAAACUGCAAGGCUAGAGUGCGGUAGGGGUAGAGGGAAUUCCCAGUGUAGCGGUGAAAUGCGUAGAGAUUGGGAAGAACACCGGUGGCGAAAGCGCUCUACUGGGCCGCAACUGACAUUGAUGGACGAAAGCUAGGGGAGCGAAUGCGAUUAGAUACCCCGGUAGUCCUAGCCGUAAACGAUGGAUACUAGGUGUAGCACGUAUCGACCCGUGCUGUAUCGGAGCUAACGCGUUAAGUAUCCCGCCUGGGGAGUACGCACGCAAGUGUGAAACUCAAAGGAAUUGACGGGGGCCCGCACAAGCGGUGGAGUAUGUGGUUUAAUUCGAUGCAACGCGAAGAACCUUACCAGGGCUUGACAUGUCCGGAAUCUUCGGGAAACCGUAGAGUGCCUUCGGGAGCCGGAACACCGGUGGUGCAUGGCUGUCGUCAGCUCGUGUCCUGAGAUGUUGGGUUAAGUCCCGCAACGAGCGCAACCCUCGUCCUUAGUUGCCAGCACUUCGGGUGGGCACUCUAGAGAGACUGCCGGUGACAAACCGGAGGAAGGUGGGGAUGACGUCAAGUCAGCAUGCCCCUUACGUCCUGGGCGACACACGUACUACAAUGCUGUGGACAAAGAGCAGCCAACCCGCGAGGGCGAGCUAAUCUCAUAAACCACGGCUCAGUUCAGAUCGCAGGCUGCAACUCGCGUGCGUGAAGGCGGAAUCGCUGGUAAUCGCCGGUCAGCAUACGGCGGUGAAUCCGUUCCCGGGCCUUGUACACACCGCCCGUCACACCAUGGGAGCUGGCCACGCCCGAA
rnacentral:rRNA from 1 species